rnacentral:rRNA from 1 species
CGGGCGUGUGCUUACCAUGCAGUCGAACGGAGAAUUUAUUUCGGUGAAUUCUUAGUGGCGAACGGGUGAGUAACGCGUAGGCAACCUGCCCUUUGGAUGGGGACAACAUUCCGAAAGGAGUGCUAAUACCGAAUGUGAUCCAUUUCUCGCAUGAGAGAUGGAUGAAAGAUGGCCUCUAUUUAUAAGCUAUCGCCAAAGGAUGGGCCUGCGUCUGAUUAGUUAGUUGGUGGGGUAACGGCUCACCAAGACGAUGAUCAGUAGCCGGUCUGAGAGGAUGAACGGCCACAUUGGGACUGAGACACGGCCCAAACUCCUACGGGAGGCAGCAGUGGGGAAUCUUCCGCAAUGGACGAAAGUCUGACGGAGCAACGCCGCGUGAGUGAUGAAGGUUUUCGGACUGUAAAACUCUGUUGUCAGGGACGAAGGUGCGAUCUGCGAAUAGUUGAUCGUAUUGACGGUACCUGACGAGGAAGCCACGGCUAACUACGUGCCAGCAGCCGCGGUAAUACGUAGGUGGCAAGCGUUGUCCGGAAUUAUUGGGCGUAAAGAGCAUGUAGGUGGGCUUUUAAGUCCGAUGUGAAAAUGCGGGGCUCAACCCCGUAUGGCAUUGGAUACUGGAAGUCUUGAGUGCAGGAGAGGAAAGGGGAAUUCCCAGUGUAGCGGUGAAAUGCGUAGAUAUUGGGAGGAACACCAGUGGCGAAGGCGCCUUUCUGGACUGUGUCUGACACUGAGAUGCGAAAGCUAGGGUAGCAAACGGGAUUAGAUACCCCGGUAGUCCUAGCCGUAAACGAUGGGUACUACGUGUAGGGGGUAUCGACCC